AUCGAUGCUAUGAAGGCAAAGAUAGAGUCACUCGAGGAGCAUGUCAAUGCUGGCGUGGCCGAGGUAACCAGCAAUGUUAAGGUGACGAGGGAGGCCAAGAUCGAGGCUCCCAAACCCCCGGUGCUCAAAGGUGUUCGUGAUGCACAAGAAGUGAAAAACUUCCUUUGGCACUUGGAGAACUACUUCAGGCAUGGAAAAGUGAGGGACGACGAGGCCAAAAUCAACACUGCGGUAUUGUACCUCUCAGAGACCCAUGCUGUAGUGGAGAAGUAAGAUGGCCGAUGUGGAUAAAGGUCUAUGUACUAUUAGCACAUGGGAUAAGUUCAAAGCGGAGUCAAGCGCCAGUAUAUGUUCGCGGCAGAUCAAUAAUUGCCAGGAAAAAUUUCUCUUUACUGGCAGUUUAAAGGAAUGGCUGCUGCAGUUCCUCAAUUGAAAGCUAUUUUCACUGUUUAUCUUUCCCUCCCAUUCUUUUCCACAAUAAUCACCCAUUCCCUCCAAAUAUUUUUCAUGUAAAUUGAAUAGAUUCACUUAAAGAAAAUUAUAGACAGCAGAAAUAAGCAAAAGGGUCUUUCAUCUAUCUUAUCGUCGGUUACCGACGACGGAGACGGAGACGGAGACGGAGACGAAUCGAUUACACGGAAGCACUUGUCUCCGGCGAUAAGAUUCACCAAUUACAUGACUCGAACCGGUCAUAUCUGGCCAUUCCUCCUUAUAGGACUCGUGCUGGUGGUCCUCACUCCUUUCGCUUACCACUCGCGUGACCUUGUUUGUAUCUCCGCUUCCUCUUCCGAUCACAUUUCUCGCUUGCGAUUUUUUUGGCUUCCAAGCCCUUGAAACAGACUUCGGAUCUCUCGGUGUUCCCUGGUGGUGUUCUGUAUGUGAUGUACUGGAAGAGCGCAUUUUGCUGCUAUGCAGCAUCCCAUUUUCGGCAGGCAUUCUUAUGUGUGGCACAGAGCUUCUUGAUGGAUUUUCAAAUGGAUAUGUCGCUCCUUUAGCUCUACAUUGACAGAACACCGCGUUCUUGAGCCUUGAGCUUUAACCCUUCAAUCUCUUCCAAUUCCCCCAAUACAGUCAAAAUGUCAAAAUGGUCCUCACCUGCUUGGUGAUCCUCCCAAAAUCAAUGUCCCUCCGCCUGAGGCAGGUCCUGAAGAUGAUGAAGAAAGCAACUCCGAUAGUCUUCCUGCCAUAAAGAUCUAUGAUGAUGAUGUGAACAUGAGGUUUCUCAUCUGUGGAACGCCAUGCUACCUGAGCGCUAGCAGAUGCUUUUGACAUUUCUAUGAGGAUGGCUCUAUCUAUUCCUUUGGCUGAUAUACUCGCAUAUAGAAAGCUUUCAGGAGCUUACUUCACAUUCCUGGAAAUCAUGAUGAAAAACCAGAUCCAUUUGAUACUAAACUUGGACUCAAGUAGCUUUAUAUUUAUUGCUGGGUCUCUUGAGUCUGGACUUAAAGUACUGGAUGCAAAUAUCAAAUCACAGGAUGAAUGCUUGUUGGGAUCUAUAGCAGAUGGUCUGAAUGCCCUCUUAAACAUUGAAGUCAAACAGUCUGAUGUUCUAUAAUUUAGCGGGUGGAAGAUUUCAAUAUGAGGAAGAGUUUCAGAGAUUAUUUUGAAGAUUGUUAUUCGUUAAGAUUAGUUAUAUAGUGACAUUAGCUAUUUACUUCAAACAAUAUGAGUUAUAUUUUAAGGUUUUAUGAUAUUAAUAUUUUGGAUUA